rnacentral:rRNA from 1 species
CCUACGGGUGGCAGCAGUGAGGAAUAUUGGUCAAUGGACGAGAGUCUGAACCAGCCAAGUAGCGUGAGGGAUGACUGCCCUAUGGGUUGUAAACUUCUUUUAUAAAGGAAUAACACGAGGCACGUGUGCCUUUUGCAUGUACUUUAUGAAUAAGGAUCAGCUAACUCCGUGCCAACAGCCGCGGUAAUAAGGAGGAUCCGAGCGUUAACCGGAUUUAUUGGGGUUAAAGGGAGAGUAGAGGGGGUGUGAAGUGAGUUGUGAAAGUGUGCGGUUCAACCGUAAAAUUGCAAUUGAUACUGGCAGUCUUGAGUACAGUUGAGGUAGGCGGAAUUCGUGGUGUAGCGGUGAAAUGCUUAGAUAUCACGAAGAACCCCGAUUGCGAAGGCAGCUUACUAAACUGUGACUGACAUUGAGGCUCGAAAGUGUGGGUAGCAAACAGGAUUAGAUACCCGGGUAGUC